rnacentral:rRNA from 1 species
UACGUAGGGUGCAAGCGUUGUCCGGAAUUAUUGGGCGUAAAGGGCUCGUAGGCGGUUUAUCGCGUCGGGAGUGAAAACUCAGGGCUUAACCCUGAGCCUGCUUCCGAUACGGGCAGACUAGAGGUAUGCAGGGGAGAAUGGAAUUCCUGGUGUAGCGGUGAAAUGCGCAGAUAUCAGGAGGAACACCGGUGGCGAAGGCGGGUCUCUGGGCCGUAACUGACGCUGAGGAGCGAAAGCAUGGGGAGCGAACAGG